AGUGAACGCUGGCGGUAGGCCUAACACAUGCAAGUCGAACGGCAGCACAGUAAGAGCUUGCUCUUACGGGUGGCGAGUGGCGGACGGGUGAGGAAUACAUCGGAAUCUACUUUUUCGUGGGGGAUAACGUAGGGAAACUUACGCUAAUACCGCAUACGACCUACGGGUGAAAGCAGGGGAUCUUCGGACCUUGCGCGAUUGAAUGAGCCGAUGUCGGAUUAGCUAGUUGGCGGGGUAAAGGCCCACCAAGGCGACGAUCCGUAGCUGGUCUGAGAGGAUGAUCAGCCACACUGGAACUGAGACACGGUCCAGACUCCUACGGGAGGCAGCAGUGGGGAAUAUUGGACAAAGGGCGCAAGCCUGAUCAAGCCAUACCGCGUGGGUGAAGAAGGCCUUCGGGUUGUAAAGCCCUUUUGUUGGGAAAGAAAAGCAGCAGGUUAAUACCCCGCUGUUCUGACGGUACCCAAAGAAUAAGCACCGGCUAACUUCGUG
rnacentral:rRNA from 1 species